GCGGAGGAAAAGAAAGCAACAGCGAUAGCCUCAGUAACGGCGAGUGAAGCGGCUACAGCUCAAAUUUGAAAUCUGGCCUCCUUUGGGGGUCCGAGUUGUAAUUUGCAGAGGAUGCUUUGGCAUUGGCGGCGGUCUAAGUUCCUUGGAACAGGACAUCGCAGAGGGUGAGAAUCCCGUACGUGGGCGCCUGCCUUUGCCGUGUAAAGCUCCUUCGACGAGUCGAGUUGUUUGGGAAUGCAGCUCUAAAUGGGAGGUAAAUUUCUCCUAAAGCUAAAUACCGGCCAGAGACCGAUAGCGCACAAGUAGAGUGAUCGAAAGAUGAAAAGUACUUUGGAAAGAGAGUCAAAUAGCACGUGAAAUUGUUGAAAGGGAAGCGCUUGCAGCCAGACUUGCCCGCAGUUGCUCACCUAGGCUUUCGCCUGGGGCACUCUUCUGCGGGCAGGCCAGCAUCAGUUUGGGCGGUCGGAUAAAGGCCUCUGUCAUGUACCACCCCUCGGGGUGGCCUUAUAGGGGAGGCGUAAUGCGACCAGCCCGGACUGAGGUCCGCGCAUCUGCUA
rnacentral:rRNA from 1 species